UUGAUUACUAAGUGGCAGUAUCAUAGCCAAUGAGGUCUAUCUGAAGCGCAAUUAUUGCUGAUUGAAAACUUUUCCCAACACCCCGCCAUGACGACUUGAAAUACAGUCGGCUUUGGCAAUUUUUGACAGUCUCCACGGAGA